GAUAGUAGACUAUUUGCUCAUUUUAUUUUUUUUAGAAAUAAACUCAAUUGAAAAUGUGAAAUAACCAGACUUUGAAUUUAGAAUCUCGUACCAAGCAAUAAGUUUUUAGCCAACUACGCUAGAUCCAGUAGGUUACAUUGAUAUAUUUGCACAAAUAUUUUAUUUUUUAGUGAUUUGUGAGACAAGACAUUGAAAUUAUUGAACAGUUCGAGACGUCAGAAUGUUGCUUUUAUGGACUUAUAAAUUUUGACAAUCUUAGUUGGUUUUUACUAUGAAUUUAGUUUGCUACAUAAAUUUAUCAACAUAUUAACAAUAUAAUGAAAUUUUUAGGGGAGAA
rnacentral:lncRNA from 1 species